GACGAACGCUGGCGGCGUGCUUAACACAUGCAAGUCGAACGGAAAGGCCCUGCUUUUGUGGGGUGCUCGAGUGGCGAACGGGUGAGUAACACGUGAGUAACCUGCCCUUGACUUUGGGAUAACUUCAGGAAACUGGGGCUAAUACCGGAUAGGAGCUCCUGCUGCAUGGUGGGGGUUGGAAAGUUUCGGCGGUUGGGGAUGGACUCGCGGCUUAUCAGCUUGUUGGUGGGGUAGUGGCUUACCAAGGCUUUGACGGGUAGCCGGCCUGAGAGGGUGACCGGCCACAUUGGGACUGAGAUACGGCCCAGACUCCUACGGGAGACAGCAGUGGGGAAUAUUGCACAAUGAGCAGAAGCCUGAUGCAGCAACGCCGGGUGCGGGAUGACGGCCUUCGAGUUGUAAACCGCUUUCGCCUGUGACGAAGCGUGAGUGACGGUAAUGGGUAAAGAAGCACCGGCUAACUACGUG
rnacentral:rRNA from 1 species